GUGAAUCAUCAAAUUUUUGAACGCAAAUUGCAUUUUCUGGGAGGAGGGAGAGGAGGCAGGUUUGAGGGUCAGUGUAAAUAAAAAUCGGUGUGGGCGGGGAAGUUCGGGGGGACGCACCGGAUGUGGGUCGUAUGGCCUUCGGUUAAGUGACCUAAAAUUUUGCAUGAUUUUUUUCGAACGUAUUUAAAUGAUUUUACGUGCGUUUGCGAUAGAGAAUACGAGGUGUGGGCAGGUCCAUGAGGAGG
rnacentral:misc_RNA from 1 species